GGAACUCCGAGUCUGAGUGGCCUUCCUCUGUUGGUUGUCAUCAACAGCUUCAGAAAUUUAAAGCUUACUUCAAAACAAUCUAAAAUCUAAACUGACUCACAUUGCAUGUUCCGCUCCUGGAUUCGUCAGGUUGGAUAUUCACAUCGAAUACUCAAGAUACUACCUUUUAUGGAUGAUGCUGAACAAUUACACAUUUUAUUUUGAAGGAUUUCCUUUUCUACAA